UCAAUCCGAGACUGUUGAGGUGGAGUGCACGCUGGACUGGGCAUUAGAGUGCCUAGAACACUGAAUGAGAGGACACCUUUGUUUUCACUGUGAAUCUGCCACUAACUACCCAUGCCCUUGGGUACAUCACCUCUUUGAGGCUUAGUUUCCUGUCUUAUAAAAUGAGUUUUGCACCAGCAUAAUGCUUGUUUGUAUCCACAUGGCUGUGCUCCUGAGGGCCGUCCUGAACAGUGAGCUGAUGGAUGAGAACACUUUGGGGGUGAGUACAGGCUUCAUCCUGUGCUGGAAUCCCUGCUGGAGAAAAUUCUCUUUUUAUAUGACAUGACGAAUUAAAGGCAUGAUUAACAAUGAGGACGUUUUUAUAGAGUCAUUGUUAAAGUGCACACCAGGCUGUUUUCAUCUGAUGGAACCAGAUCACAAAACUGUUUGGACAUCUGUGAAAAACAAACCCAAUCUGUAUGGUCAAAAGAACAUUGAACAGCCAUUAUUCAUGUGAAGUGUUUGAUAGAAAGGCAUUCUGUGUCUGGUGACUUCCAAACAACGUGUAGUGCCUUUAUCGCCUGAGUAAAUGGGGCUUGCCUUUAACACAUCCUCUUUACUAGUCUCAAAGCACUGAGAUAAUGACUGAAAGCUGUGUUAGAGACCAAGCCAUGCAAGAAAGAAAAUGUGUCAUAUCACAUCAACUUAAAACAACUGCAAACCAUCAACAGUGUUUCCCCAAUCCCUACAUUAAAAUCUACAAUCAAGCAGAUAAUAUGAGCAUGUCAAUUUCUCCUUUGAGUAAUAACUACUAACCUCAUGGAAACCAAGCCUCUUCCUUAGAUGUCUCUGAUGUAGGAGUUUGCAGAAUACCAGCAUCUUGGCACAACUGAGGAGGAAAUAAUCCUCUUUCUGGCAUGCGACACUUUAAGAGGCCUCAGAUGCCCUUGGAUAACUUUCAGAUUUGAGUAUGUCUUUAUCAGCAACAUGAGAACGAACUAAUACAGUAAAUUCGUACCAGUAGUAGAGUGGGGCGUUGCUGAAAAGAUACCCGAAAAUGCGGAAGCGACUCUGGAACUGGGUAACAGGCAGAAGUUGAAACAGUUUGGGAGAGCUCAGAAGAAGACAGAAAAAUGUGAGAAAGUUUGGAACCUCCUAGAGACUUGUUGAAUGGCUUUGACAAAAAUGCUGAGAGUGAUAUGAACAACAAGGUCCAGGCUGAGGGUGGUCUCAGAUGGAGGUGAGGAACUUGUUGGGAACUGGAGUAAAGGUGACUCUUGUUAUGUUUUAGCAAAGAGACCGGCGGCAUUUUGCCCCUGCCCUAGAGAUUUGUGGAACUUUGAACUUGAGAGAGAUGAUUUAGGGUUUCUGGUGGAAGAAAUUUCUCAGCAGCAAAGCAUUCAAGAGGUGACUUGGGUGCUGUUUAGAGCAUUUUGUUUUAAAAGGAAAACAGAGCAUAAAAGCUCAGAAAAUUUGCAGCCUGACAAUGCAGUAGAAAAGAAAUACCCAUUUUUUUUUUUUAGGAGAAAUUCAAGCCAGCUGCAGAAAUUUGCAUAAGUAGCAAAUAGCCUAAUGUUAUUCCCUAAGACCACAGGGAAAAUGUCUCCAGGCCAUGUCAGAGACCUUCAUGGAAGCCUCUCCCAUCACAGGCUUGGAACCCAGGAGGAAAAAGUGGUUUCAUUGGCGGGGCCCAGGGUCCCUGUGCUGUGUGCAGCCUAGGGGCUCGGUGACCUGUGUCCCAGCUGCUGUAGCCUAGGUUGAAAGGGUCCAAGGUACUUCAGAGGGUAGAAGCCCCAAGACUUGAAGCUUCCACAUGAUGUUGAGCCUGUGGGUGCACGGAAGUCAAGAACAGAGGUUUGGGAACCUCCGCCUAGAUUUCAGAUGUAUGGAAAUGCCUGGAUGCCCAGGCAAAAAUUUGCUGCAGGGUUGGGGCCCUCAUGGAGAACCUCUGCUGGGGCAGUGCAGAAGGGCAACAUGGGGUUGGAGCCCUCAUGCAGAGUCUCUACUGGGGCACUGCCUAGUGCAGCUGUGAGAAGAGGGCCACCGUCCUCCAGAACCCAGAGUGGUAGAUCCACUGGCACCUUGCACCUUGCACUUGGAAAAGCCACAGAUACUCAACACUAGCCAGUGAAAGCAGCAAGGAGGGAAGCUGUACCCUGCAAAGCCACAGGGGUGGAGCUGCCCAAGACUAUGGGAACCCACCUUUUGCAUCAGUGUGACUUGGAUGUGAGACCUGGAGUCAAAGGAGAUCAUUUUGGAGCUUUAAAAUUUGACUGCACCACUGGAUUUUGGACUUGCAUGGGUCCUGUAACCCCUUUGCUUUGGCUAAUUUCUCCCAUUCGGAAUGGCUGUAUUUACCCAAUACCUGUAACACCAUUGUAUCUAGGAAGUAAGUAGCUUGCUUUUGAUUUUACAGGCUCAUAGGCAGAAGGGACUUGCCUUGUCUCAGAUGAGACUUUGGACUGUGGACUUUGGGUUAAUGCUGAAAUGAGUUAAGACUGGGGGACUGUUUCGAAGGCAUGAUUGGUUUUGAAAUGUGAGGACGUGAGAUUUGGAGUGGCCGGGGUGAAAUGAUAUGGUUUGGCUGUGUCCCCACCCAAAUUUCAGCUUGAAUUGUAUCUCCCAGAAUUCCCAUGUGUUAUAGGAGGGACCAAAGUGCUCGUAAUUGAAUCAUGGGGGCUGAUCUUGUGAUAGUGAAUAAGUCUCACAAGGUCUGAUGGGUUUAUCAGGGAUUUAUGCUUUUGCUUCUUCCUCAUUUUUUUCUUGCUGCCACCAUGUAAGAAGUGCCUUUCACCUCCCACCAUGAUUCUGAGGCUUCCCCAGCCGUGUGGAACUGUAAAUCCAAUUAAACCUCUUUUUGUUCCCAGUUUCGGAUAUGUCUUUAUCAGCAGCAUGAAAAUGAACUAAUGCAUGCUGUAACAGAGACUGAAGUGAGGUGGGGUUUGAGGAAAACUGAUGCAGUUCGUUUUUCUUUAAUGAGAUUCACUCCAUAUUUGGGUGAGGUGAGACCCAUCCAAGGGUCUCUGAGACUAGAGACUAGAGACUGAUUAAGAUGAUGCAGGGGAGGGAAAACUUUUUGGUGCCCACGGGGAAAGGGAACAGAAGGUUUUUCCUUUUGUUUUUAAUAAUUUCAAUUUUUAUUUUAGAUUCAGGGAUACAGCUGCAGGUUUGUUACCUGGCUGUAUUGUGUGAUGCUGAGGUUUGGGGUGUGAUUGAUCUUUUCACCCAAGUACUGAGCAUAGGACCCAAUAGUUAGUUUUUCAACCCUUGCUCCACUCCCUUCCUCCUCCGUCUGGUAGUCUUCAGUGUCUAUUGUUCCCAUCUUUAUGUCCAUGUGUGUUCAAUGUUUAGCUCCCACUUAUAAGUGAGAAAAUGUAGUAUUUGAUUUUUUAUUCCUGUGUUAAUUCACUUAGGAUGAUGGCCUCCAGCUGCAUCCAUGUUGCUGCAAAUGACAUAAUUUUGUUCUUUUGCAUGGCUGCGUAGUAUUCCAUAGUGUAUAUGUACCACAUUUUCUUUAUCCAAUCCACUGUUGAUGGGCACCUAGGUUGAUUCUAUGUCUUUGCUAUUGUGCAUAGUGCUGCAAUAAACAUAUGAGUACAUGUA